UGACUUUGAGGACAGUCAGAUACUCAAGACCCUGAAAGUAAUGAAAGGGAGGGGUGGGGGGGGGCCCACAACAGAACAGUUCUGUUAUGCUAUGAGGAUUUUUUUCUAAGCUAACGUGGAAUCAUAAAUAGUACCUAGAAAAAUAAAAGGGUGCAGUGUGUGGACACUUUGAACAUAUCCAUAGUAAAUUCCAAAUCAAUAAUAAUGUGUUGGUGUCACAUUAAGGAAAGAAAGCAUUUCCCCUUGGUGUCAUUUAACUAAGAGUGAGCUCAGAUUUGAUUUCCUAUUUCAUGUUCCCUGUGUUUUCUGUCCUCAUCCUCUGUGUCUGUUACAUGAGUCUGAAUCUGUGCCUGCCUGACGUCUGUCUUGUAAAUCUAUCCCUGUGUGUUCAUCUGUCACAAAGGGCUUUGUUCUUUAUUGAGCAGCCCAGAAAGCAUACCAUGGAGAAGGAAUGAGGGGUAACAGAAAUCUUUAACAGUUUUACAAGGGAUUAAGUCAUAGAUUCCAAUUAACCCCAACUGACCCAGAAAACAGUAUUUCAAACACUACUAUCAGCAAUAUUCAAAUGUUGUGUGCAACAUUCAUGGUGGAUAUUCAUUUUAGAAGAUAGACUGCUUUCAACUUCUGUUUUCAGCAAAUGAUACCCAUUCAUUAAUGUUGGUCAGAGACAAGGUACAUGACUUAAGAUUACAGCUAGGCAUAGGGAAAUCCAAGGGCAGGUAAGGGUGAUAACACUAUUUUCUUAAAAGCUGAACAUACAGUAGGAUAGCAUCUUAAGCCAUAAGUGACCUCGGGGUAUACUAACCCUGGCUGUAAGGUCCAUCAAAAGUUCCAAUCCAGUCGCUUGGAAUGAAAAAAAAUUUUUUUUAAAUAUUGCAUCAUCGUAAGAGAAGAGCAAGGACUAAUAAAUAUUAUUCAAUUAAAACAAUGUCUACUGGUACAUAAUAGAAAAUGGACUGAUGAAAUGGAAACAGAACCUAGAUAAAGGGUUAAGUCCAUAAAAGGUGUCAGAGAUCUGUCUUAUCUACAUGAUUCCCCAAACUAGUCAUAGACAAGUUGACUAGAGAUUCAGGAUCAAGCAGGUUAGUAUUUUGUACUAGGGUCCAAAGGAUCAGAAAUCAGAAAUGAAAAAGCAAAGCCAUCAGUUCUUCAGAGAAAACAAUGCCAGUGGAUUACUGUAUGGGUCUGAAGUGAAGAAGACAAUCUGAGUUGAUACAGAAACUACCAAACUGACAAUCAGAGCAUAUGACAGCAUGGUAAAACCAUUAGAACAAAGCCAAGUAAUAAACUGGAAGAAUACGCAGCUCAUCGCACUUGAAGAAUUAAUAUCUCUAACAGGUGAAUUCAGUGCACAAAGGACCUAAGCAACUUCAAGGGACUCCUUAAUAUAUUAAGAGUUGGUGAUUUUAUACAUUGAGGUUUAAAAAUGAACAUUCUAAAUCUACAUACUAUCAGAAUGCCCGACUCUAGCAUUGGAAUCUAUCUCUGGUAGUGGGGCUGUGGGUGAGCAAGUGCAGAUGUGUGUGAGCUGAGCUAGUCCCGUGGAGAGCAACGUCCAAGUCAGUACCUCUCAAGUCUACAAGUGUGUGUGGUCUCUCACCUUUGAAUACUUAGAAAUGUACAUAUACAUGUGUGACAUGAUAUGUGGACAUGGUCUAGGAACAACUCAAAUGCUCAAGAAUGGUUCCACUCAACUAAACACUGGCAUAGCCAUAGUGAGGAUACCAAGGAACCAGUAAAGGGAAAAAGCUAUCUGGUGAUACAUUGCCAGUGAAAUAAUUAGGUGAUAAAAUGCAGAUGGUGUGUAUGUGGUAUUACUCCAAGAAAAAAUAAGAGCGAAUACAGAAAUAAGGUUUUACAUUUAUAUUUGUUGGCAUAUAUAUGGGUUAUGGAUGGAAAUACAAAAGGCCAGGGGCAGAAGGUAUAUGUGUGCACUAUGGGAAGCUGGGAAGACAUUGUAUUUUUAGUAUAUAUUGUGUUUUUUAACCAUGUGAAUGUACCACCUAUUUGGAAAGUUAAAUAAAACAAGCAUUUUGUAAGUCUAUGACUCAAUAGG
rnacentral:lncRNA from 1 species